rnacentral:rRNA from 3 species
UUAAGCGACUAAGCGUACACGGUGGAUGCCUAGGCAGUCAGAGGCGAUGAAGGGCGUGCUAAUCUGCGAAAAGCGUCGGUAAGCUGAUAUGAAGCGUUAUAACCGACGAUACCCGAAUGGGGAAACCCAGUGCAAUACGUUGCACUAUCGUUAGAUGAAUACAUAGUCUAACGAGGCGAACCGGGGGAACUGAAACAUCUAAGUACCCCGAGGAAAAGAAAUCAACCGAGAUUCCCCCAGUAGCGGCGAGCGAACGGGGAGGAGCCCAGAGUCUGAAUCAGUUUGUGUGUUAGUGGAAGCGUCUGGAAAGUCGCACGGUACAGGGUGAUAGUCCCGUACACCAAAAUGCACAGGCUGUGAACUCGAUGAGUAGGGCGGGACACGUGACAUCCUGUCUGAAUAUGGGGGGACCAUCCUCCAAGGCUAAAUACUCCUGACUGACCGAUAGUGAACCAGUACCGUGAGGGAAAGGCGAAAAGAACCCCGGCGAGGGGAGUGAAAUAGAACCUGAAACCGUGUACGUACAAGCAGUGGGAGCACCUUCGUGGUGUGACUGCGUACCUUUUGUAUAAUGGGUCAGCGACUUAUAUUUUGUAGCAAGGUUAACCGAAUAGGGGAGCCGUAGGGAAACCGAGUCUUAACUGGGCGUCUAGUUGCAAGGUAUAGACCCGAAACCCGGUGAUCUAGCCAUGGGCAGGUUGAAGGUUGGGUAACACUAACUGGAGGACCGAACCGACUAAUGUUGAAAAAUUAGCGGAUGACUUGUGGCUGGGGGUGAAAGGCCAAUCAAACCGGGAGAUAGCUGGUUCUCCCCGAAAGCUAUUUAGGUAGCGCCUCGUGAACUCAUCUUCGGGGGUAGAGCACUGUUUCGGCUAGGGGGCCAUCCCGGCUUACCAAACCGAUGCAAACUCCGAAUACCGAAGAAUGUUAUCACGGGAGACACACGGCGGGUGCUAACGUCCGUCGUGAAGAGGGAAACAACCCAGACCGCCAGCUAAGGUCCCAAAGUCAUGGUUAAGUGGGAAACGAUGUGGGAAGGCACAGACAGCCAGGAUGUUGGCUUAGAAGCAGCCAUCAUUUAAAGAAAGCGUAAUAGCUCACUGGUCGAGUCGGCCUGCGCGGAAGAUGUAACGGGGCUAAACCAUGCACCGAAGCUGCGGCAGCGACACUUAGGUGUUGUUGGGUAGGGGAGCGUUCUGUAAGCCGUUGAAGGUGACCUGUGAGGGUUGCUGGAGGUAUCAGAAGUGCGAAUGCUGACAUAAGUAACGAUAAUGCGGGUGAAAAACCCGCACGCCGGAAGACCAAGGGUUCCUGUCCAACGUUAAUCGGGGCAGGGUGAGUCGACCCCUAAGGCGAGGCUGAAAAGCGUAGUCGAUGGGAAACAGGUUAAUAUUCCUGUACUUGGUGUUACUGCGAAGGGGGGACGGAGAAGGCUAGGCUGGCCGGGCGACGGUUGUCCCGGUUUAAGCGUGUAGGGGGAGUGACCAGGUAAAUCCGGUUGCUUAUCAACCCUGAGGCGUGAUGACGAUGCACCACGGUGCAGAAGCAGUUGAUGCCAUGCUUCCAGGAAAAGCCUCUAAGCAUCAGGUAACAUUAAAUCGUACCCCAAACCGACACAGGUGGUCAGGUAGAGAAUACUCAGGCGCUUGAGAGAACUCGGGUGAAGGAACUAGGCAAAAUGGUGCCGUAACUUCGGGAGAAGGCACGCUGGCGUUAGGUGAAAGGACUAGCUCCUGGAGCUGAAGCCAGUCGCAGAUACCAGCUGGCUGCAACUGUUUAAUAAAAACACAGCACUGUGCAAACACGAAAGUGGACGUAUACAGUGUGACGCCUGCCCGGUGCUGGAAGGUUAAUUGAUGGGGUCAGCCGCAAGGCGAAGCUCUUGAUCGAAGCCCCAGUAAACGGCGGCCGUAACUAUAACGGUCCUAAGGUAGCGAAAUUCCUUGUCGGGUAAGUUCCGACCUGCACGAAUGGCGUAAUGAUGGCCAGGCUGUCUCCACCCGAGACUCAGUGAAAUUGAACUCGCUGUGAAGAUGCAGUGUACCCGCGGCAAGACGGAAAGACCCCGUGAACCUUUACUAUAGCUUGACACUGAACAUUGAGCCUUGAUGUGUAGGAUAGGUGGGAGGCCUUGAAGUGUGGACGCCAGUCUGCAUGGAGCCAACCUUGAAAUACCACCCUUUAAUGUUUGAUGUUCUAACUCGGCCCCAUGAUCUGGGGUGAGGACAGUGUCUGGUGGGUAGUUUGACUGGGGCGGUCUCCUCCCAAAGAGUAACGGAGGAGCACGAAGGUUAGCUAAUCACGGUCGGACAUCGUGAGGUUAGUGCAAAGGCAUAAGCUAGCUUGACUGCGAGAGUGACGGCUCGAGCAGGUACGAAAGUAGGUCUUAGUGAUCCGGUGGUUCUGAAUGGAAGGGCCAUCGCUCAACGGAUAAAAGGUACUCCGGGGAUAACAGGCUGAUACCGCCCAAGAGUUCAUAUCGACGGCGGUGUUUGGCACCUCGAUGUCGGCUCAUCACAUCCUGGGGCUGAAGUAGGUCCCAAGGGUAUGGCUGUUCGCCAUUUAAAGUGGUACGCGAGCUGGGUUUAGAACGUCGUGAGACAGUUCGGUCCCUAUCUGCCGUGGGCGUUGGAAGAUUGAGAGGGGCUGCUCCUAGUACGAGAGGACCGGAGUGGACGAAUCACUGGUGUUCGGGUUGUCAUGCCAAUGGCAUUGCCCGGUAGCUAAAUUCGGAAGAGAUAACCGCUGAAAGCAUCUAAGCGGGAAACUUGCCUCGAGAUGAGUCUUCCCUGGGGCUUAAAGCCCCCUGAAGGAACGUUAAAGACUAUGACGUUGAUAGGCUGGGUGUGUAAGUGCAGCGAUGUAUUGAGCUAACCAGUACUAAUGAUCCGUGAGGCUUAACCUU